AGUGAACGCUGGCGGUAGGCCUAACACAUGCCAGUCGAACGGCAGCACAGUAAGAGCUUGCUCUUACGGGUGGCGAGUGGCGGACGGGUGCGGAAUACCUCGGAAUCUACUUUUUCGUGGGGGAUAACGUAGGGAAACUUACGCUAAUACCGCAUACGACCUACGGGUGAAAGCAGGGGAUCUUCGGACCUUGCGCGAUUGAAUGAGCCGAUGUCGGAUUAGCUAGUUGGCGGGGUAAAGGCCCACCAAGGCGACGAUCCGUAGCUGGUCUGAGAGGAUGAUCAGCCACACUGGAACUGAGACACGGUCCAGACUCCUACGGGAGGCAGCAGUGGGGAAUAUUGGACAAUGGGCGCAAGCCUGAUCCAGCCAUACCGCGUGGGUGAAGAAGGCCUUCGGGUUGUAAAGCCCUUUUGUUGGGAAAGAAAAGCAGCAGGUUAAUACCCCGCUGUUCUGACGGUACCCAAAGAAUAAGCACCGGCUAACUUCGUG
rnacentral:rRNA from 1 species